UCAUCGAUCCCAGGGCUUAAGAUACCGACAAAGAAGAACUUUAAUUUUGUCAUUCUGUUUUUUAUUUUCAUCCUCCAACUUUUGAACUGUACGUUGGGCUUCGCUUAAUUUGAUCGCUUGCAGCUCUGCGGAUACCUUCGGUGCGGCCAGCUUUCCUGUACGUAUUAAAAUUUCUUGAUUAAUAAAACCACCCUCAUUUAACUACGACGCAACUUGGA